UACGAAGGGGGCUAGCGUUGCUCGGAAUCACUGGGCGUAAAGCGCACGUAGGCGGCUUCUUAAGUCAGGGGUGAAAGCCUGGAGCUCAACUCCGGAACUGCCUUUGAUACUGAGGAGCUUGAGUCCGGGAGAGGUGAGUGGAACUGCGAGUGUAGAGGUGAAAUUCGUAGAUAUUCGCAAGAACACCAGUGGCGAAGGCGGCUCACUGGCCCGGUACUGACGCUGAGGUGCGAAAGCGUGGGGAGCAAACAGG
rnacentral:rRNA from 1 species